rnacentral:lncRNA from 1 species
GUUUUGUAUGUUCUUGAGAAGAAUGUGUAUUCUGUCGGAUGGAAUAUUCUGUAUAGGUCAGAAUUCUUUGUCAGCUGAUGCUGUUGGGUGCCAGUUGCUGGGUCUCCAGGGAGAUAAGGGGCUUCCCAUAUAGGGAGGUGGACCAUUUAGUCCAGGGCCCCACACUGGUUAACCAGUUCUGUUACUGACAAAGCUGGUCCCCUAUAAGAUGGAGUCUUUCCCUGUUCAGUGUCAUGAAACCAAAUGUGGGAAACUGAAAGUGAUUUUCAAGCAGUACAGACUUAUUUAAUGGUCAUGGAAUUGAGAAGUGGGAGCAUGGCUCAUGAGUCAACUUCUUGACUAGCAAAUGGGGCAUAUUGUCCUGGAAUUAUGGCCAACAUUCUACAGGGCAACAGGUCAUUGAUUCUGAUCCUGCCAGCCUCCACCCAUCUUAUUGGUGGGCAUCAUCCCAGGGUGAACCUGUGAAAGAUAUUGCUUAGUACUGCUUGGAGCAAUAUUCUUUUAUUGAUGAAGCUGUCAGAAGAGAGGAAAAUCCCAGGGUGAAAAGAUUAAGGAAAAGAGAAAAUAAGAAUGGAAAAUGGAUGACAGAUGAGAAGAAAUGGCUUGAAAUACCUGUUGGAAAUUUCUAUCUGAUGACACAAACAGUCCAUUACCACGGCUUCAUAAAUUCACAUCAUAAUCUAUCUCUCUUCAGUUUUCCUCUUUCCCUGUUGCUUUAUAAUACAUAAAAUAAUCUAGAGAGAACUACAGAAAAUAAAAAUUAAAAUGCAAACUUAUUCCCAACAAGCUUUCUUUUUCUUGUAGAUGUUUGCAUCACUUUUUAAAAUAUUUCCCAUGGUUUUACUUCAUUCAUAUUAGAACCUAAGCUCUUCAAGAAGACAG